AGUCUUAUGUAUCUAUAUAAGAUAAUUUCUGCCCAGUGGUAGGUGACUUAACGGCCGCAGUACCUUGACUGUGCUAAGGUAGCAUAAUAAAUUGGCUUUUAAUUGAAGUCUAGUAUGAAAGGAAAUACGGUGGGUGAGGCUGUCUCUUUAAGGUUAACCUGAACUUGCUAACUAGGUGAAAAUACCUAGUCUGUAGAAAAAAGACGAGAAGACCCUAAGAAUUUUUAUUAUAAAGUUGUAAUAUUCACUUAAUAUUUUUGUUGGGGUGACAUAGUAACAAAUUUUAACUUAUUUUGAUGAUACAAACCGAUGGUUAUAUAUUAGAAAAAAUUACCUUAGGGAUAACAGCAUAAUUUAUUAUUAAGAUUGUGACCUCGAUGUUGGACUAGGAACUAUAUAAUUAGUAAUUAAAAUAGCAAGUUCUGUUCGAACUUUUAACUCCU
rnacentral:rRNA from 1 species